UACUGUUCUAAUCUUUUCUUU
rnacentral:piRNA from 1 species